ensembl:lncRNA
GCAUGGCUCAUACAGAAAGAGGGACUUUACAUUAGAGCUGUGAGGGCAGCGCUGCUGCUUGCUGGGUGCUGGAGCAGGCUGUGGGGCCGGCCGUGUUGGCACAGAUGAGCGUCUUCCUUGAACUGCACAGUACUUGGAAAGCUCUGAGAAACGUUCAUCUCCUGAGGGCAGGAAAUUCCCAAAGCCCCCCUGUUAGCGGCCUACGAUCAAAUCCUGGCAGGCUCUUUGGCCCUCUGUCCCGCUUUCUCUCGCUCACCUGACAUCUACCCAUGCUUCCUAUUGGUGCUGCAGCAGCUGAAAGACAUCUGGUCAGUGUCAGCAGUUAUAUGCCUUUUUUCUUCCUACUGUGCCUCAUUAACGUAUGCUCACUAACUCAAUUCUGUUUUGAAAAGAAAUAUAUGAGAAAUUAACUGGUAAGGCAUCAGCGGCUGCCAGAACUCCAGGGGAAAAGAAAUCCAUGAGCUAAUGGAGUUAGCAGCAAUGCAAACCUGGACACGACUACAAAUUGCUUCAGCACAUGUGAUCCUGAAAACAGAGGGUCAAAGGAGCUGGGUCCCGUUUCCUGCAGCACUUGCUUGGCUCAGCACUGAGUCUGUGUGCUGAGAUCCGGUGCUGCACACUGGGCACAGGGAGAGCUCUUUUUUGGUUGACUCUUCUGGACUGUCUUCCCGAGGCAGAAGCUGGAAACCACCAUGGCCUCAGGGUUUCAGCACACAGAGAUCCCAGUGAAUGAGGCCCAGCGUGGAGCGGUUAUUUUCAAGGGCACUGCUACCAAUCUAUCCAGAGAGAGAGCUGGUCUCUGGGCAUCACUAAGAGGACUCGGAUAACACAGCAGGAGCAGGACAGAGUUGUACAGGAGUCAUUUAAAAAUAGAAAAAUAUAAUUUAAAAACAAACUCUUCUGGAUGUAACUUGAAAAAUAAGCAAGUAGAAAAUAUGAAAUGAAUGCAAAGGGCUCCAGGUUUCUCGUUCUUCAAAAGUGGUGAUGGUUCAGGUGGGUGAUGAGCAGCUACAGAAGUAAACUAUUAAAUCAAAGAAAAAAAGAGUAUGUAUGUACAUAUGUAUGCACUUUGAAAGACUUACGCUGAAUUAUAAAUGCUUCUGAAUCAUAAAAAUACAGAGCUUGUCAGUGGUUUCUGUCGAAGAUUGAACAUCUGAUUUCAUU